rnacentral:lncRNA from 1 species
AUGAUGAAGGCUAGAUAUUUAUGCUAACACUAAAUUAGUUCCACAAGCUUUGUUGUCUAUUUGAGCUCCACAUGAUUUAAGAAUCAAGAAGACUAGCAGACGGAGGACAUUCUAAUCGCUGUCAGAAUGCUGCUGACUUUCAAAUACACCUUUGCCACCUGCUAGCAACAUCAAGAGAAAUUACGUCAAAAUUCAGCUUGGGGGAGAGCACCCCCAUUUAUCUCGCUAAGUAUUUCUACCUAUCUUUAUACUUAUAUUAUAUUAGAAUAUUAAAAUACAUAAACUAUGAAAAACCAAAUAAAGAUUUUGUGCUUAUAUAUAUAUCUUUUGCUUAGUGUGUUUAAUAAAUAAAUAAAGUGGCUAUGCUAAUCUGAAUCUUAAUAAUAAAACUCUAGCAUGGAUAUGAUGAAUAGUUGUUCUGCCUAAUUUGCAAAUUUGAAGUUCUCUCUCAAGUUUAGACAUAACUGUUAUAAUUUAAAGCUUGCUCUAGAUCUAAACUUAUGGGAUGAAAACUUGAUCUGAAAUCUAAUAAGUUGUUAACGGAUAUGAUAUGGGAUGGUUGAGCUGCUGUUUAUCUGUGCCUGGAGAUGCCAGAAUUCUGGAGAAUUUUAUCUUUAAAAAAUCUUUAAAAUAUUGCAUGAUGAGUUCGUGUAUGAUGAGAGUUUAAAUUCCUACCACAGCCAUAUAUGUACAUGCUUGCUAGACUUUGAGCCACACAUUUAUUAUUUACUGCUUAUGAGCAUUGAGUGUGGUCAAGCUGUGUAGACCCUUAGGAGCUUGUCAUGUGGUUAAAUCAAGAUUCACUUGCACGUUCACUCAUAUAUGCUACUUCUACUCCGGAAGUACCAUCCACAUAUAUCCAUCCAUGUCCAUCUCCAGAACCACCCAAAAAUAUUCUACUCCUAAUUCAGGAGAGAAUAGCCAAAAAUAUUUCUGUUUUCCCUUGUAAAAUAAAUGCUCAAGUUAUCUUGCUACUACCACUUGCUAUAUUAUCUCAAGAGAUGAAUGCUCUGAAAAAAAAUAAUAAAUGAGGAAAUAAAAAGGGGCAAGUGCGCGGAACCUCGAAAAAAAGAAAAAGUGAGACGAGAGGUAAAAAUGGACAAGUGUCCGACAGUAGAAUUAGGGGUACAAGAUACCCACCUGAGAGGAAAGAAAAAUGAAAGAUAGAGCAUCUCAUUCCCCUCAUAAAGUUUCAAAAAGCAAGGAAGAUAUGUAUCCCCUCAAAAGAGCAAAAGUAGAAUUAGACUUUCACCAUUGUUAUCACCAUCAUCACCAUACACCAUUCAUUCGCCACACAUGCACAUCUUGAUUUGGCUUAUUGAUUUGUUUCUUUGGAUACAUGGUUUCACUAUACAAUAAAUGUCUUGUAAGUAUGUAUUAGCUGUCUCCCGCCUAUGAGCUCCAGAUAUUAAAGCCUUAUUAGAGUAGGGUGAGAGAGAAGGCAAUGUCACUAUGCCUUAUGCCACAAAUACCAUAUAUCUUGAGAGAAGGCAUAUACCAUCACUACCUUGGUAAGGAUCCAGAAAUACCACAAAAGAGAGAUUUAGAGGGUCAUACAAGGAAUCUCUGAGUUUUAUUUGAAAAUCUGCAAAAACUCUAGAGCUAUAGCUGAUCAAGAAUAAGAGACAUGGCACUUGGCUAGACUGUUCUAUCUUUUAACUACUCAAGACAGAAGUGACGGUUACAAGUCCCAUGGUGAAAGGUAAAGUAAGUAAGUUUUAGUUCUUGACAGUUUACUCUAACUCAGAGAUGAGAUCUUAUUUAAAAGCAUGUGUACCGUCAAAUUUUUAAGAUACUGCAACAACUUGAGAUCCAUCGCUGAGUCUAUCCUUGCUCAGGGACGAGCAAGAGGUAAGCUUGGGGGAGUUUGUUGACGGUCCUUAAGUAUAAAAUUUAAUUAUCAAAUAAAUAAAGAAAAGGAUCCAAAUACAACCAACAUCUAAACUUAGGGUUUUAUCUGACAGAAUUCCACGAGUUUUGGUGUUUGUCUAUUUCUGCAGGGGGUUAUCAGGAAAUAUGGAAGAAAGGCCCACACGUCGGGAAUACAUAGAGAUAUUAACGUGCCGCACAAUUUUACAUCAUCUAGAAGACUCCAGAAGCCACGGGAAGGUGAACGGGCCCGGGGGCAGGGCGCCCGCCCACCCCCCUUGGGCGCCCGCCCAGGAGUUGUAGUCAAACACGUCCAACUUUGCGGACCAAGCUCCACCGACCUAAAGGAUCAAGGAUAACCGUUCAAUCAAUGUCGGUUUGAUCCAACGGCCCAGGUUCACUUGAGGGGACUAUAUAACCAGACCCCCUGGUGUUGGGUAUUCUUAACAUCAUUACUAAAAGUAGACUAAGUUCUAAAUCUAGCAACGGUGCCAAAAAUGCCAAACCUAUCCCUCACACCACUUAAGCCAAGUUGUCAUCCCCAGCAUGAUAUGAGAGACGCGGUAUUGAAAUAUGCAAUUGCUCUUCUAAAUAAAUAAUGAAUGGGAUCUGCAAGCGCACAGAUUAAUACCGAUGUAGCAUUUUAACCGGGAAGUAUUCCAGGUAUCGUUAUUUAUAUUUUUACCACUGGAAAGGGAUUAGCAAUCAUCACUAUUGAUUAUAGAAUAGAAUAUGAGAUUGAGCAUCUAUCAUUGCAUGUAUAAUUGAGAACAUUAUAUCUAACUCAUUAUACAGGGAUAAAUGUCACAUAAAAGAUAUAUGAAAUAAUAAUAGUGACAAGGAUAACUAAUCUGAUCUAGCCACAUAAUAAAUAUGAUAAGCACCUCAAUUAGAUACUCUAGAAAGUCAUUAGCAUGGUAUUAGACCGAACUACAAGAAUAUUCCCUAAGUUAUUCUUAACUAUAUAGUCUAGCAUUAUCAUAGUUAGUGCAAGCAUACUUAGCAAUCAUUGUGAGACAAGACUACGCCCAUGCAUAGUGAUAUUAGCAAGGAAUAUGAGAAACAUAGCAAUCACUCCCCUGUAAUAAUGUUGCUCUGCCAGCCCAAUACACGAGAGGGGGACUAUAUAAGAAUCAAUGAAGCUGUCACUAUCACGAACAACCCCACGAUCUGGCAUAUUGGGUACAAUCGCAGAUAAAUACGGUAUAAGCACCACGCCUACACAAUAUCUAUCAUUUACCCAUGGAUCCGAUGGAUAAACGCUAUACGAUCCUAAGCAUGUAUAUAGAUCGUAUCUAACUAAGCCAAGUACAUAACUAUGAUAAACUAAGAACAAUAUAAUCUUGAAUAUAAGCAAGUAGAGCAAAGUCAUAAGCAAUAUAUUGAAGUAGAACAAAGUCAUAUUCAUAAUAUUGAAGAACAAAGAUAAUUAGAAAGCAAUUAGAAGCACAAUUAGAAGAUUACCAAGAAUCCUCCUGACAGAUCCGGAAACCAAUCGAAGAUUGACUCCUUCUAGUUCUAAUCCUAUGUAGCUAUGCUAAUCUAGAUGUCUAAUUGAUGUGGUGGCUCUAAUCUUGAUCAGAGGCUUCUUCUCCCUUGAUGGAACAAUGAAUUAGGGUUGAGAGGCUCUCUCGUCCAGGGGCCAGGGGGUCUGGUUUUAUAGUCCCUCCAAGUAAAUAUGGGCCCUUGGAUCAAACCGACAUAGAUUGUAUGGUUUAGAUUCAUCCUUUAGGUCGGUGGAGAUCUCCCGCAAAGCAGAGUCCUGAUUGGACUCAGGAGGUGGGCGGGCGCCCUGACCAACUAGGCGGCCGCCCAGGGUCUGGCCCCGUUUCGCCUCCGCUUCGGUCCCGUGGCUUCUGGAGUCUUCUAGAUGUAAGAUAAUUGCGCAGCACGUUAAUACCUUUACGUAAUCCUGACAUGUGGGCCUUUCUUCCGUAUUUCCUGAAAACCCCCUACAGAAAUAGACAAACACCAAAACUCGUGGAAUUCUGUCAGAUAAAACCCUAAGUCUAGAUAUUGAUUUCAUUUGGAUCCUUUUCUUUAUUUAGUUGAAAAUUAAAUUUGAUACUUAAGGACCGUCAACAAACUCCCCCAAGCUUACCUCUUGCUCGUCCCUGAGCAAGGAUAGACUCAGCUAUGGAUCAGAAGUAGUUGCAAUAUCUUUAAAAAUUUGACGGUACACAUGCUUUUAAAUAAGAUCUCAUCUCUAAGUUAGAGUAAACUGUCAAGACUUAAAACUUACUUACUUUACCUCCACCAUGGGACUUGUUACUGUCACUUCUGUCUUGAGUGGUUAAAAGAUAGAACAGGCUAGCCAAGUGCCAUGUCUCUUAUUCUUGAUCAGCAAUAGCUCUGGGAUUUUUGCAGAUUUUCAAAUAAAACUCAGAGAUUCCUUGUAUGAUUCUCUCAGGUCUCUCUUUUGUGGUAUUUUUGGAUCCUUACCAAGGCAUUGAUGGUAUAUGCCUUCUCUCAAGAUAUGUGGUAUUUGUGGUAUGAGGCAUAGUGAUAUUGCCUUCUCUCUCACCCUACUCUACUAAGGCUUUAAUAUCUAGAGCUCAUAGGUGGGAGAUAAAGUAUGCAUACUUACAAGACAUUUAUUGCAUAGUCAAACCAUGGAUCGAAAAUAACAAGUCAAUAAGUUUAAUCAAGAUGUGCAUGUGUGGCGAAUGAAUGGUAUAUGGUGAUGAUGGUGAUAACAAUGGUGAAAACAAUGGUGGUGGAAGUCUAAUUCUACUUUUGCUCUUUUGAGGGGAUACAUACCUUCCUUGCUUUUGAAACUUUAUGAUGAGAAUGAGAUGCUCUUCUUUUUCUUGUCUCUCAGGUGGGUAUCUUGCACCCCUAAUUCUACUGUCGGACACUUGUCCAUUUUUACCUCUCGUCUCACUUUUUUUCUUUUCGAGGUUCCGAGCACUUGCUCCUUUUUAUUUCCUCGUAUUAUUUUCUAUCUCUCUUUUUUUUAGAGCACUCAUCUCUUGAGAUAAUAUAGCAAGUGGUAGUAACAAGAUAACUUGAGCAUUUAUUUCACAAGGGGAAAACAGAAAUAUUUUUGGUUAUUCUCUCCCGGAUUAGGAGUAGAAUAUUUUUAGGUGGUUCUAGAGAUGGAAUGGGUGGAUAUAUGUGGAUGGUACUUCCGGAGUAGAAGUAGCAUAUAUGAGUGAACGUGCAAGUGAAAUCUUGAUUUAACCACAGGACAAGCUCCUAAGGGUCUACACAGCUUGACCACACUCAAUGCUCAUAAGCAGUAAAUAGUAAAUGUGUGGCUCAAAGUCUAGCAAGCAUGUAUAUAUGGCUGUGGUAGGAAUUUAAACUCUCAUCAUACAGGAACUCAUCAUGCAACAUUUUAAAGAUUUUCAAGAUAAAAUUCUCUAGAAUUCUAGCAUCUCUAGGAACAGAUAAACAGCAGCUCAGCCUUCCCAUAUCUUAUCCGUUAACAACUUAGACUUCAGAUCAAGUUUUCAUCCCACAAGUUUAGGUCUAGAGCAAGCUUUAAAUUAUAACUGUUGUUGACGGUCCUUAAGUAUCAAAUUUAAUUAUCAAAUAAACAAAGAAAAGGAUCCAAAUGAAAUCAACAUCUAGACUUAGGGUUUUAUCUGACAGAAUUCCACGAGUUUUGGUGUUUGUCUAUUUCUGCAGGGGGUUAUCAGGAAAUAAGGAAGAAAGGCCCACAUGUCGGGAUUACAUAGAGAUAUCAACCCACCGUGCAAUUUUCUACCAUCUAGAAGACUCCAGAAGACACGGGAAGGAAGCGGAGCCCGAAAGGGGCCAGGCCCAGGGCGCCCGCCCUGAGGACCUGGGCGCCCGCCCCCCUCUGGACUCCGUUCCGGACUCUCUUCGCACACGACGUUCCACCGACCAAUUGGAUCCAGAAUAACAUAGUACCACCUCGCCUAUCGACCCAAAAACGCAUAGAAGGGGAGGACUAUAUAAGGAGACCCCCUCUGGCCCUGGAGGAGACAAGAAAUUAUCAAAGAGAUUGAGGGCUGCCCUCGAAGGAAAACCUCUUCUCUAAAUAAUAUUUCUUUUUAGGCUUAGCAUCCAAUGUAAAGUAGAAAUAGAUCUUCUAGUUUCUACUAGAUUGAGAGAGAUAGAGUGGAGGUGUGGAUCGGAGGAAGGCCGACCUGUCGGUGUCUACUCCGAGUUGUACCUACGGGAUCAAGUCUCCUAACCUGAGGCUUGCUUCUAAGAUUCUUCAGUAAUUCGACUUCUAAUACUAGUAAGUUCUUGUUUUAUUGUUCUUUGGUUUAUGAGUUUACUUUAAUCCUCUUCCGGUUGAGUAUUAGAGUAAUCACUUGUUAGCGUAAACAUGGUGUUUAGGCUAGGUUACUCAUAGAUAUCCCCUGACUAGCUGGACCGUGGUAGUAACGAGGAACGUGACAUUUCCGAGUUACCUUUGUAGAUCACAUCUCGUUAGUAGGACGGGUAGGGUUAUAGGUGCGGGUCGAACAUCCUUUGUGUUGUCUAGAUUCCGUGAGCCUCCCCAAUAGAACAGUAGAUCAUCCUUACCAAGGUUAGAACGAGACUACGGUUGCAGUCUUCUCUAUACAUCACUCACAUCGAGAGACAUUCUUUGUAGCCUAAAGGGAUAGUAGCAAUAGAUUUGGUUAGUCAGAUGCACCCUUUCUCCCAGUGGUAAAAAUAUAAAUACGAUAACUCUGGAUAACCUCCCGGGUGAAAUGCUCACCGAUAUCCGUGCGCUUGCGGAUCAUUUUCUAAUUGCGUUACCAAAUAUCAACAAGCAUUUCUGGCGCCGUUGCCGGGAAGAAAGACGGUUUGCUGAGAUAACUUUGAGUCUUGCUAUUAUCUUGUAUUAUACUUUUAUACUUUUAUUCUUUUAUCUUUUUAUUUUUAUCUUUAUGGAUAAUUUAAAUUCCAUACCUAUUAUUGAAUUCUUUGCACCUUCGGAGACCAGCCAUAGACCAUGGGAGUCAACACGUUCUGCCCCUAAUUAUGAUCUGUGUCCGGAGUUGAUUGCAAUAGGUCAAAACCAACCCUUUUCUAUAGCUGAGGUCCUAUCUUUUAAUCAAAAAGAUAAUGCACUUUUAGCUACACCUAGGGAAUAUUUUAAUCUUUUUAUAAAUUCUGGUUUAGACCUAGCCCUACAAGACCAUGUUUUUCCUAGAUAUUUUCACAUUGGUCUUAAUCAUAUAACCUUUGGUAGAGUCUUUCUUUCUUUAUCUAUUAGUAAAGGAAGGUAUGUCUUCAUUCGUAGACAUCCUUCUUGCACUAGUCUUCAUAGAAAAAUCUUAGAGAUAGAGAAGGAAUCAUCUCCCAUACAAGGAGAGGAAGUUUCAAUAGCCGAUUUCCAAACAUUUCAAUCCCAUAAUUCGGCUAUCCAACCCAUCCUUGAGCUUAAUAGUUUCUACUAUGCUCUUCCUCUUGGACCUCCCGAUAAUCCUAUGAAUCUUUCUAGACAUCCCAUGCAUAAGAAGGAGGAUCGAGAAGAGCAACAUCAAUGGCUAGAGGGCAUUAAAAAUCCUUGUGCUAUCACCAUUGAAUGGAUAGAUAAAACAAACUUGACAGACAAUCCUAGAGGAAUUUUAAACAUUCAUGAAGAAUAUUCCUUGGAGUUUGAGAAUGAGAGAAACAACAGUGAGCAUGGAAGUUAUUUCAUAAAUACCUCACCCAGUCCUUGCUCAUAUAAAACAUCUCUCCAAUCAAUUUGUCUCUCCAUCCUUACCACAUUUGAGAUCUCCAACCCCAUCUUCUUUUCUAUUUAUAAAAACUUUAAAAGGGCAGCUGUCGAUGCAUAUGUCUAUAAUAAAUAUUGCAGAUCUCGUUGAGUUAAUUGAUGGUUCCCCAAGGACAAGCUUAGUGUCCUAAAACAAGCAUUUCUAAUUAUUUGCAACAUUGCCUUGUGUAUUGAGCAUAUAAAGAUAAUUGUAGAAAUAUUCCUUCGGGUAUUCUUGCCACUAACCUUUCUAGGAUUGGGGCAAGAAGAUCGGAUGAAUGACAAGCGCAAGGUAUGCCCAACCAAUCAUCAUGCAACAUUAAAUUAAAUUCAUCCAAUCUUGAAUUUUGCAAAAUUCAAGCUUGGGGGAGUACUUUACAUAAAACAUCCUUUGCCAUGUUGCUAUGUUGGUUGUCCUUACCUUUGAGACAUGCUCAAUUUGUUAAAUACUAAUCACACUACUUCAUCUCCACUUGAGUAGAUCUCUAUAAAAGCCAUCAUGCUACCUUUGUUUAUCCUAGUAAGUGAUAGUUUGGAAGUACUGGUCACACUUCCAAUGGCAUUUAAAUUAAGCGUGGUGCUUAGGUUAAAUAGCCUUCCUUAAUCUGAUUAGACAUGGAGUCUAGUUUGGUUACUGAACUAAAAACUGCUUGAGUAGAUAUUGGUAUAUUUUGUUGGACUAACCCCUGUAGGAAAACUUUUAAUAUCAACCUGGGAAGUCCUGAGAUGCAAACUCAUUAGAGAUGAAGAAAGUGACACAUGAAGUUUAACAAUUUGCACAAGAAAUACGUAGCUCACAAGAGAUGAUUCAUGGAGGGUGCCACAAAUACGAUGCACAACCGCUAAGAAAGGAAAGCUUCCACAAGGUGAUACUGUACCAUCACUCUUCAAGUAAGGUAACAUCUUAAGGUACUUGACUAACACUUUUAUAAGCUCCUCCUUGGUUCUGGCAUUCACAUAAUAAAGAGACAAACAUGUAUGAUUUAUAACUCCAAAUUAACCAACUCAAUUAAUUCAACAUGUUUAGUCCUUUAAUCUUUGUUCUUAGUACUACCUUCGUGACCCCACACUCCUAAUCAUAUAAGCUAAAGUAUUGCACAUGCAAUCUUUGGAAGAUAUAAACAAAACAUAAAUAUAGAUAGAUUAUCUUUCCAUUAGGUUGAGCCAUCUGAUCUAACAAAUGUUUUAAAUGCUACACUCAUGAUCCAUCAACUUUGUCUUGCUCACUAUGCUUAAGGUUAGAGAAGAAAAAAUACACUUUUGGUUCUGUUGGUGUUUUCCACCAACAGGGCCCAUGCACUUGAUCUCUGCCUUGUCUCUAUGAGCAGGACACAUUUUGAGAAACGUGAAGGCGUUUUACAACUCCCAGAUUCCAUCAAGUGAAGAACCGGGAUCUACAAGCACAAACACAAUGGAGAUCAGACACUUAGUUUCCCAAAGGAACAUUGAAGAACCCCCGUGUCCGAGUUGGUACCUUGUACACUCCUGCAAACUUCGUGGUGAUAGAGACUGGUAGUGAGGAGAGAGCACCCAUCAUCUUAGGGAGGCCAUUCCUAAACACCAGAGCAGUCAUCUACGCUAAUGCUGCCAAGAUCAGUCUCUACAUCAAGGGGAAGAAGGAGAGUUUCCUUCAAGAACAAGACUACACAAGCUUCAGAGCAAACCCGACAUGAACCAAGGAAGAGGACCAACAGGAGGAACAGGAACAAGCAAAUGUGGACUGAGUCAGCUAAGAUGGUCACUGCAGUUCAAAGAGGUCAAGAUCGUCGACUCAAGUCGCCAUUCCUGAUCAAGAAGGACAACCCUGGUGUUCCAAGCAUCGAGUGCACAAUCAACGGAUACUCUUUUCAGAAGACACUCUACGACACCGGAUCUAACGACAACAUAAUGGCCGUAGUCACUUAUCAGCUCCUGCAUGGAAUCAUGCCCCUACAACCAACAUACAUUCAGCUCUAGAUGAUUUUCAGGUCAUUGUCAUGGGAGAAGACGAGUACGAUCCACCCAUCAUCCUUGGAAGACCGUUCCUCAAACACUAUCAAAGCUAUUAUCUAUAUUGGAACCGAAGAAGUCCACAUGCACUUCCCCUCUGAGAAGGUACGCCACUACUUUAAUGAUUCUAACUAUAUAAUUGAAAAUCCUAAGCAGGUCAGGACAAGAAGAAGGCGACGCAACCGAAAUCACAGGAGGCAAAUCAUCAAGGACGGAUGGGUAGACUACGAAGGAGAAGUGAUAAGGUCUGAAGACAUACCACUUGAACAUAACUGUCCUGAGGAGACCGUAGCACCGAGUUAGGUGUGGAGAGAGAAGAUAGUUAUACACGAAGAAGAGGCGCCGCCGGAAUCACCGACUACACCACCUAGCGAAUCCCAGGACGACUGAAAACACAAGGAGUCCCGCUCGGAGGACUUAAAAACACCGAACGCCUUGCCAAGAGGUAAACUUGGUAGUUAUCCUUUCCCUUUUAAUUAUUUCAAAUAGUUUACUUAGUUAAUCAUGUUCGUAUUAUCUUAGAAAGAAAAUAAAAAUGUGAAAAAAAACUGUAAGCCCCAUAUGAGUAGACGAGUGGCAUAAAACCCAUAAGUACAUUCACUGUGGUGGCAUAAAAAUAAAAUAAAUAUUUUUCUGCUUCAUAAAAACAAAAAUAUAAAAACAGGGAGUAAUAUUUAUUAAGGAGUCUCAACAUGAUAAAGGCUAGAUAUUUAUGCUAACACUUAACCUGUUCCACAAAGCUUUGUUGUCUAUUUGAGCUCCACAGAAUUUAAGAAUCAAGAAGACUAGCAGACGGAGGACAUUCUCAUCGCUGUCAAAAUACUGCUGACUUUCAAACACACCUCUGCCACCUGCUAGCUACAUCAAGAGAAAUUACGUCAAAAUCCAGCUUGGGGGAGAGCACCCCCAUUUAUCUCGAUAAGUAUUUCUAUCUAUCUUUAUACUUAUACUAUAUUAGAAUAUAAAUACACAUAACUAUAAAAAACCAAAUAAAGAUUUUAUGCUUAUAUAUAUUUUGCUUAGUAUGUUUAAUAAAUAAAUAAAGUGGCUAUGCUAAUCUAUAUCUAAUAAAACUUAAGCAUGGAUAUGAUGAAUAGUUGCUCUGCCUAAUUUGCAAAUUUGAAGUUCUCUCUCAAGUUUAGAUAUAACUGUUAUAAUUUAAGGCUUGCUCUAGACCUAAACUUGUGGGAUGAAAAUUUGAUCUGAAGUCUAAGUUGUUAACGGAUACGAUAUGGGAAGGUUGAGCUGCUGUUUAUCUGUUCCUAGAGAUGCUAGAAUUCUGGAGAAUUUUAUCUUUGAAAAUCUUUAAAAUGUUGCAUGAUGAGUUCCUGUAUGAUGAGAGUUUAAAUUCCUACCACAGCCAUAUAUACAUGCUUGCUAGACCUUGAGCCACACAUUUACUAUUUACUGCUUAUGAGCAUUGAGUGUGGUCAAGCUAUGUAGACCCUUAGGAGCUUGUCAUGUGGUUAAAAUCAAGAUUCAAUUGCACGAUUACUCAUACAUGCUACUUCUACUCCGGAAGUACCAUCCACAUAUAUCCACUCAUUUCUAUCUCCAGUUUUACCCAAAAUUAUUCUACUCCUAAUCCGGGAGAGAAUAGCCAAAAACAUUUUCCUAUCCCUGUUAUUCCCCGUGAAAUAAAUGCUCCAGUUAUUUUGGUUACUACCACUUGCUACAUUAUUUCAGGAGAUGAGUGCUCUAGAAAGAAAAAAAGAAAAAAGAAGAAAAAAAAUAAAUAAUAUACGAGGAAAUAAAAAGGGGCAAGUGCCCGGAACCUCGAAGAAAAGAAAAAGUGAGACGAGAGGUAAAAAUGGACAAGUGUCCGAUAGUAGAAUUAGGGGUACAAGAUACCCACCUGAGAGGUAAGAAAAAGAAAAUAUAGGGCAUCUCAUUCUCCCCAAAAAGCUUCUAAGUGCAAGAAAGGUAUGUAUCCCCUUAAAAGAGCAAAAGUAGAAUUAGACUUUCACCAUUGUUAUCACCAUCAUCACCAUACACCAUACAUUCGCCACACAUGCACAUCUUGAUUUGACUUAUUGACUUGAUUCUUUGGAUCCAUGGUUUGACUAUGCAAUAAAUGUCUUGUAAGUAUGUAUACUUUAUCUCCCACCUAUGAGCUCCAGAUAUUAAAGCCUUAUUAGAGUAGGGUGAGAGAGAAGACAAUGACACUAUGCUUCAUACCACAAAUACUACAUAUUUUGAGUGAAGGCAUAUACCAUCACUGCCUUGGUAAGGAUCCAAAAAUACCACAAAAGAGAGACCUGAGAGAAUCAUACAAGGAAUUUCUGAGUUUUAUUUGAAAAUCUGCAAAAACCCCAGAGCUAUAGCUGAUCAAGAAUAAGAGACAUGGCACUUGGCUAGACUGUUCUAUCUUUUAACCACUCAAGACAGAAGUGACGGUUACAAGUCCUAUGGUGUAGGUAAAGUAAGUAAGUUUUAAGUCUUAACAGUUUAUUCUAACUCAGAGAUGAGAUCUUGUUUAAAUGCGUGUGUACUUCUAAGAAAUGAAACCACUGCAGAAACUCUUGAGUUCAUCCUUGCUCAGGGACGAGCAAGAGGUAAGCUUGGGGGAGUUUGUUGACGGUCCUUAAGUAUCAAAUUUAAUUAUCAAAUAAACAAAGAAAAGGAUCCAAAUGAAAUCAACAUCUAGACUUAGGGUUUUAUCUGACAGAAUUCCACGAGUUUUGGUGUUUGUCUAUUUCUGCAGGGGGUUAUCAGGAAAUAAGGAAGAAAGGCCCACAUGUCGCGAUUACAUAGAGAUAUCAACCCACCGUGCAAUUUUCUACCAUCUAGAAGACUCCAGAAGACACGGGAAUGAAGCGGAGCCCGAAAGGGGCCAGGCCCAGGGCGCCCGCCCUGAGGACCUGGGCGCCCGCCCCCCUCUGGACUCCGUUCCGGACUCUCUUCGCACACGACGUUCCACCGACCUAUUGGAUCCAGAAUAACAUAGUACCACCUCGCCUAUCGACCCAAAAACGCAUAGAAGGGGAGGACUAUAUAAGGAGACCCCCUCUGGCCCUGGAGGAGACAAGAAAUUAUCAUAGAGAUUGAGGGGUGCCCUCGAAGGAAAACCUCUUCUCUAAAUAAUAUUUCUUUUUAGGCUUAGCAUCCAAUGUAAAGUAGAAAUAGAUCUUCUAGUUUCUACUAGAUUGAGAGAGAUAGAGUGGAGGUGUGGAUCGGAGGAAGGCCGGCCUGUCGGUGUCUACUCUGAGUUGUACCUACGGGAUCAAGUCUCCUAACCUGAGGCUUGCUUCUAAGAUUCUUCAGUAAUUCGACUUCUAAUACUAGUAAGUUCUUGUUUUAUUGUUCUUUGGUUUAUGAGUUUACUUUAAUCCUCUUCCGGUUGAGUUUUAGAGUAAUCACUUGUUAGCGUAAACGUGGUGUUUAGGCUAGGGUACUCAUAGAUAUCCCCUGACUAGCUGGACCGUGGUAGUAGCGAGGAACGUGACAUUUCCGAGUUACCUUUGUAGAUCACAUCUCGUUAGCAGGACGGGUAGGGUUAUAGGUGCGGGUCGAACAUCCUUUGUGUUGUCUAGAUUCCGUGA